rnacentral:rRNA from 1 species
AUUGAACGCUGGCGGCAUGCCUUACACAUGCAAGUCGAACGGCAGCACGGGAGCAAUCCUGGUGGCGAGUGGCGAACGGGUGAGUAAAGUAUCGGAACGUGCCCAGUCGUGGGGGAUAACGUAGCGAAAGUUACGCUAAUACCGCAUACGAUCUAUGGAUGAAAGCGGGGGAUCGCAAGACCUCGCGCGAUUGGAGCGGCCGAUAUCAGAUUAGGUAGUUGGUGGGGUAAAGGCCCACCAAGCCGACGAUCUGUAGCUGGUCUGAGAGGACAACCAGGCACACUGGGACUGAUACACGGCCCAUACUCCUACGGGAGGCAGCAGUGGGGAAUUUUGGACAAAGGGCGAAAGCCUGAUCCAGCCAUGCCGCGUGCAGGAUGAAGGCCUUCGGGUUGUAAACCGCUUUUGUACGGAACGAAAAGGUUUGGCCUAAUAAGCUGAGCUCAUGACGGUACCGUAAGAAUAAGCACCGGCUAACUGCGUGCCAGCCGCCGCAGUAA